CCUACGGGAGGCAGCAGUGAGGAAUAUUGGUCAAUGGACGAGAGUCUGAACCAGCCAAGUAGCGUGAAGGAUGACUGCCCUAUGGGUUGUAAACUUCUUUUAUAAAGGAAUAAAACGAGGCACGUGUGCCUUUUUGCAUGUACUUUAUGAAUAAGGAUCGGCUAACUCCGUGCCAGCAGCCGCGGUAAUACGGAGGAUCCGAGCGUUAUCCGGAUUUAUUGGGUUUAACGGGAGCGUAGAUGGGUUGUUAAGUCAGUUGUGAAAGUUUGCGGCUCAACCGUAAAAUUGCAAUUGAUACUGGCAGUCUUGAGUACAGUUGAGGUAGGCGGAAUUCGUGGUGUAGCGGUGAAAUGCUUAGAUAUCACGAAGAACCCCGAUUGCGAAGGCAGCUUACUAAACUGUGACUGACAUUGAUGCUCGAAAGUGUGGGUAGCAAACAGGAUUAGAUACCCUUGUAGUC
rnacentral:rRNA from 1 species